rnacentral:rRNA from 1 species
UGCAGUCGACGGUAACAGGACUAGCUUGCUAGUCGCUGACGAGUGGCGGACGGGUGCGUAACGCGUGGGAAUCUACCUUUUAGUGGGGGAUAGCCCGGAGAAAUCCGGAUUAAUACCGCAUAAGCCCUACGGGGGAAAAGGGGCCUCUUCUUGAAAGCUCUUGCUAUUAGAUGAGCCCGCGUAAGAUUAGCUUGUUGGUGGGGUAAUGGCCUACCAAGGCAACGAUCUUUAGCUGGUCUGAGAGGAUGAUCAGCCACACUGGGACUGAGACACGGCCCAGACUCCUACGGGAGGCAGCAGUGGGGAAUAUUGGACAAUGGGCGGAAGCCUGAUCCAGCAAUACCGCGUGUGUGAAGAAGGCCCGAGGGUUGUAAAGCACUUUCAAUAGGGACGAAAAGCCUAAGGUUAAUAACCUUGGGUCUUGACUUAACCUAUACAAGAAGCACCGGCUAACUCCGUGCCAGCAGCCGCGGUAAUACG